rnacentral:rRNA from 1 species
AUUGAACGCUGGCGGCAGGCUUAACACAUGCAAGUCGAGCGGAGAUGAGGUGCUUGCACCUUAUCUUAGCGGCGGACGGGUGAGUAAUGCUUAGGAAUCUGCCUAUUAGUGGGGGACAACAUUCCGAAAGGAAUGCUAAUACCGCAUACGCCCUACGGGGGAAAGCAGGGGAUCUUCGGACCUUGCGCUAAUAGAUGAGCCUAAGUCGGAUUAGCUAGUUGGUGGGGUAAAGGCCUACCAAGGCGACGAUCUGUAGCGGGUCUGAGAGGAUGAUACGCCACACGGGGACGGAGACACGGCCCAGACUCCUACGGGAGGCAGCAGUGGGGAAUAUUGGACAAUGGGCGGAAGCCUGAUCCAGCCAUGCCGCGUGUGUGAAGAAGGCCUUUUGGUUGUAAAGCACUUUAAGCGAGGAGGAGGCUACCUGGAUUAAUACUCUAGGAUAGUGGACGUUACUCGCAGAAUAAGCACCGGUUAACUCUGUGCCAGCAGCCGCAGUAAUAC